UGGGGAUGACGUCAAGUCCUCAUGGCCCUUAUGUCCAGGGCUACACACGUGCUACAAUGGCCGGUACAAAGGGCUGCAAGACCGUGAGGUUGAGCGAAUCCCAGAAAGCCGGUCUCAGUUCGGAUUGGAGUUGCAACUCGACUCCAUGAAGUUGGAAUCGCUAGUAAUCGCGGAUCAGCAUGCCCGCGGUCGAAUACGGUUCCGGCCUU
rnacentral:rRNA from 1 species